GCUUCUUUGUGGUUUCAGAGAGCCUCCUCCUCUUCUUCAUCCAUUCUUUCUCGUUUUCUCGCCUAACGUAUCAAAACAGGAUCUCUCUCUCUCUCAUCCCUUAAGAUCUAUUUUGAUCCACUUUCAUUCCCUCUCUCUUGCUCGUGGUGAUCUCCCUCUCGCCAACUCUUGAACACACACUAUUGGAUUAAGAGACAAAAAUGGCAGAAGAGAUCAAGGAACGUUUACAACCAACAACAAAGGAGAAGAAGAAACAACAACAAGAACAACACAAAAACGUGAAAGGGAAGAGACUAUGGCAGAAAGUCAAGUACCAACUCGUGGAGUACCACGCUUUGCCUGCUUACCUCAGAGACAACGAGUACAUCCUUGGCCACUACCGUUCCGAAUGGCCCCUCAAACACAUCCUCCUCAGCAUCUUCUCCAUCCACAACGAGACCUUGAAUGUCUGGACGCACUUGAUUGGUUUUUUCCUGUUUCUAGCACUUACUAUAUACACAGCUACCAAAGUCCCAAGCGUUGUGGAUCUUCAGCACCGUUUACCUCAUCUCCUCAGGAAAACUGAUCUUCACAAACUUCACUCUGACCUCAUGUCUCGCCUUCCUUCUUCUCCUUCUAAGUGGCAUCUCAUGGAGCUUCUCUAUAACUGUCUCCCUGACAGAUUCUCUCUUGCCAACUCCACCGACAUGUGUGUUCUGCAUUCAGUGAAGGAAGAUGUUGCAAACAUGAUAGCUCCUUUGAUCCUCAGGCCAAUCACUCGAUGGCCCUUCUACGCAUUCCUAGGCGGGGCUAUGUUCUGUCUAUUAGCAAGCAGCACCUGCCACCUCCUCUCCUGUCACUCAGAGCGAGUCUCUUACAUAAUGCUUAGGCUUGACUACGCUGGGAUCGCAGCUCUCAUCUCCACUUCCUUCUACCCUCCCGUCUACUACUCUUUCAUGUGUGAUCCUUUCUUCUGCAACCUCUACUUAGGAUUCAUUACAAUCCUGGGAAUCUCCACGGUCCUCGUCUCCCUCCUACCCGUCUUCCAGAGCCCUGAGUUUCGUGUAGUGAGGGCCUCUCUCUUCUUUGGAAUGGGGUUCUCCGGAGCGGCACCGAUACUACAUAAGCUGAUCAUCUUUUGGGACCAGCCCGAGGCGCUUCACACGACGGGGUAUGAGGUUUUGAUGGGUUUGCUUUACGGGUUAGGAGCUUUGGUUUAUGCGACUAGGAUCCCUGAGAGAUGGAUGCCUGGUAAGUUUUGAUAUAGCUGGACAUAGCCAUCAGUUGUUUCAUGUUUUGGUGGUUGCCGGUGCCUUCACACAUUAUAGAGCAGGGCUUGUGUAUCUCAAGUGGAGAGACAUUGAAGGAUGUUGAAAGUAUUUGAUGGAAUCUUCUAAUGUUUUUAAUCAAACGAAAAAAAAUUGGAUUGUGUAAAGUGUCUUGAUGUGUAAGAAAAUGUUAUUAGUUUUUCCA